UGGGAGGCUGAGGUGGGAAAAAUCACUUGAGCCUAUGAGUUCGAGACUGUAGUGAGCCAUAAUUGUGUCACCGUACUCCAGCUUGGGUGACAGUGAGAACCUGUCUUAAAAGAAAGAAAAAAAAAAAAGGUGCUGGCACCUGGGUCUUCCUUAAAGGGAAACUCCUGCCGUCUGAGUAGCAUGGGGCUUCUGAACUCAGGGCCUAGAAUGGUAGUAGGGUUUCUUGGAGUUGGAUCCUUUGGUUUUGGAGACCUGUGAAGCAGCCUUCACUGUUUCCUUCCUGUCUAUCUAGCUGUGCCCACCUGGCUGAAGAAGCCCCAAGACAGCCAGCUGGAGGAGGGCAAACCCGGCUACUUGCAUUGCCUGACCCAGGCCACACCAAAACCUACAGUUGUCUGGUACAGAAACCAGAUGCUCAUCUCAGAGGACUCACGGUUCGAGGUCUUCAAGAAUGGGACCUUGCGCAUCAACAACGUGGAGGUGUAUGAUGGGACAUGGUACCGUUGUGUGAGCAGCACCCCAGCUGGCAGCAUCGAGGCACAAGCCCGUGUCCAAGUGCUGGAAAAGCUCAAGUUCACACCACCACCCCAGCCACAGCAGUGCAUGGAGUUUGACAAGGAGGCCACGGUGCCCUGUUCAGCCACAGGCCGAGAGAAGCCCACUAUUAAGUGGGAACGGGCAGAUGGGAGCAGCCUCCCAGAGUGGGUGACAGACAAUGCUGGGACCCUGCAUUUUGCCCGGGUGACUCGAGAUGACGCUGGCAACUAUACUUGCAUUGCCUCCAACGGGCCACAGGGCAAGAUUCGUGCCCAUGUCCAGCUCACUGUGGCAGUUUUUAUCACCUUCAAAG
rnacentral:sRNA from 1 species